rnacentral:lncRNA from 1 species
CAGAAUUUUAACAUUUAAUUCAUCAGUAUCAAAGGUCUUACCAAACCCAGUCAAGUGGUUCACUAUGUGAGUGAAACGCUUUUGGACAUCAAAAAUUGUUUCUCCAGGUUGCAUUCUGAACAUCUCAUACUCCUGGAUGAGAGUGUUUUUCCUUGCGUGUUUCACAUCCUUUGUUCCUUCAUGUGUGACUCUGAGAACUUCCC